rnacentral:rRNA from 1 species
GACGAACGCUGGCGGCGUGCUUAACACAUGCAAGUCGAACGAAGUGGCGAACGGGUGAGUAACGCGUAAUCAACCUGCCCUUCAGAGGGGGACAACAGUUGGAAACGACUGCUAAUACCGCAUACUGAAGGAGGGGAUUGCGUCGGAUUAGCUAGUUGGAGGGGUAACGGCCCACCAAGGCGAUGCUCAGUAGGCGGUCUGAGGGGAUGAACGGGCAAAUUGGGACUGGGACACGGCCCAGACCCCUACGGGAGGCAGCAAUGGGGAAGCUGCCGCAAUGGAAGAAAGUCUGGCGGAGCAAAGCCGCGGGAGGGAUGACGGCCUUCGGGUUGUAAAGGUCUGUUAAUCGGGACGCGGUACCGGAAUAGAAAGCCACGGCUAACUACGUGCCAGCAGCCGCGGUAAUUC